rnacentral:rRNA from 1 species
GGAAACCUGGCGGCGUGCCUAAUCAUGCAAGUCGAGCGAACGGACGAGAAGCUUGCUUCUCUGAUGUUAGCGGCGGACGGGUGAGUAACACGUGGAUAACCUACCUAUAAGACUGGGAUAACUUCGGGAAACCGGAGCUAAUACCGGAUAAUAUUUUGAACCGCAUGGUUCAAAAGUGAAAGACGGUCUUGCUGUCACUUAUAGAUGGAUCCGCGCUGCAUUAGCUAGUUGGUAAGGUAACGGCUUACCAAGGCAACGAUGCAUAGCCGACCUGAGAGGGUGAUCGGCCACACUGGAACUGAGACACGGUCCAGACUCCUACGGGAGGCAGCAGUAGGGAAUCUUCCGCAAUGGGCGAAAGCCUGACGGAGCAACGCCGCGUGAGUGAUGAAGGUCUUCGGAUCGUAAAACUCUGUUAUUAGGGAAGAACAUAUGUGUAAGUAACUGUGCACAUCUUGACGGUACCUAAUCAGAAAGCCACGGCUAACUACGUGCCAGCAGCCGCGGUAAU